UACGUAGGUGGCAAGCGUUGUCCGGAUUUACUGGGUGUAAAGGGAGCGUAGACGGUUGUGCAAGUCUGGAGUGAAAGGCGGGGGCCCAACCCCCGGACUGCUCUGGAAACUGUAAAACUGGAGUGCAGGAGAGGUAAGUGGAAUUCCUAGUGUAGCGGUGAAAUGCGUAGAUAUUAGGAGGAACACCAGUGGCGAAGGCGGCUUACUGGACAGUAACUGACGCUGAGGCGCGAAAGCGUGGGGAGCAA
rnacentral:rRNA from 1 species